rnacentral:rRNA from 1 species
AAAGCGAGUCUGAAUAGGGCGCAUAAGUAACAGGUCGUAGACCCGAAACCAGGUGAUCUACCCAUGUCCAGGAUGAAGGUAAGGUAAUACUUACUGGAGGUCCGAACCCACGCACGUUGAAAAGUGCGGGGAUGAGGUGUGGGUAGCGGAGAAAUUCCAAUCGAACUUGGAGAUAGCUGGUUCUCUCCGAAAUAGCUUUAGGGCUAGCCUCGAGGUAAAGAGUCAUGGAGGUAGAGCACUGUUUGGACUAGGGGCCCUUCUCGGGUUACCGAAUUCAGAUAAACUCCGAAUGCCAUGUACUUAUACUCGGGAGUCAGACUGCGAGUGAUAAGAUCCGUAGUCGAAAGGGAAACAGCCCAGACCACCAGUUAAGGUCCCCAAAUAUAUGUUAAGUGGAAAAGGAUGUGGGGUUGCUUAGACAACCAGGAUGUUGGCUUAGAAGCAGCCACCAUUGAAAGAGUGCGUAAUAGCUCACUGGUCGAGUGACCCCGCGCCGAAAAUGUACCGGGGCUAAACAUAUUACCGAAACUGUGGAUGAACCUCUUCGGAGGUUCGUGGUAGGAGAGCGUUCUAAGGGCGGUGAAGUCAGACCGGAAGGACUGGUGGAGCGCUUAGAAGUGAGAAUGCCGGUAUGAGUAGCGAAAGAAGGGUGAGAAUCCCUUCCACCGAAUAUCUAAGGUUUCCUGAGGAAGGCUCGUCCGCUCAGGGUUAGUCGGGACCUAAGCCGAGGCCGAUAGGCGUAGGCGAUGGACAACAGGUAGAGAUUCCUGUACCAGUGCUAAUUGUUUAACCGAUGGGGUGACACAGAAGGAUAGGGAAUCGCACGAAUGGAAAUGUGCGUCCAAGCAGUGAGUGUGA